rnacentral:lncRNA from 1 species
AAGAAAAAUCCAAGUGGAUUCGUGCUGUGGAGUUGGUCGAGUUGGUAUUGUGACUGUUGACUGACGAUUGCUGGCGGUAGUUCCGUGCCCAUGUGCUCUCGAUAAAUAAUGACGAAUGCGUACACCUUCGAUGGCCUGGUGGUGUUUGGACUUUUGGUGAUUUGCACCUGCGCUUAUAUGCGCAGAGUUCCCCGGCUGAAGCAGUGGUUUCUUUCGGAGAAGAAGGGAUUUUGGGGAGUAUUUUACAAAGCAUCAGUUAUAGGUACACGACUGCACUUCUUCGUCUCUGUGAGCUGUGUCCUGGCUGGCUGUUACCUGCUUUUCAUUAAGUGAUUGGGAAAGAAAGAACUGUUGAAGAUGCUUCUGUUUUGCCCGACCUGCUCCAACAUUCUCAUCGUAGAGGAAGGCCUCAGUUGCUUUCGGUUUGCCUGCAACACAUGUCCAUACGUGCACAACAUUAAGCAGAAGAUGUCAAACCGCAAGUACCCGCGGCUCAAGGAUGUUGAUGACGUGCUCGGAGGUGCUGCUGCGUGGGAGAAUGUGGAUUCAACUGAGGAAAAAUGCCCCAAGUGCAGCCAUAGCCGCGCCUAUUUCAUGCAGAUUCAAACACGAUCAGCCGAUGAGCCCAUGACUACAUUCUACAAGUGCUGCAGUCCUCAGUGUGGGCAUCAGUGGAGAGACUGACCACUUUCUUCU